rnacentral:rRNA from 1 species
GUUGUAUGGUUAAGUGACUAAGCGUACAUGGUGGAUGCCUUGGCAGUCAGAGGCGAUGAAGGACGUACUAACCUGCGAUAAGCCGUGAGCAGUCGGUAAGAGACAUUACGACUCACGGAUUUCCGAAUGGGGAAACCCACUUAGCAUAAGCUAGGUAUCGCUGCGUGAAUACAUAGCGUAGCGAGGCGAACCGGGAGAACUGAAACAUCUAAGUACCCCGAGGAAAAGAAAUCAACCGAGAUUCCCUCAGUAGCGGCGAGCGAACGGGGAUUAGCCCUUAAGCAUCUUGGAAGUUAGUGGAACGGUCCUGGAAAGGCCGGCGAUACAGGGUGAUAGCCCCGUACACGAAAACAACCUUGAUGUGAAAUCGAGUAGGGCGGGACACGUGACAUCCUGUCUGAAUAUGGGGGGACCAUCCUCCAAGGCUAAAUACUCCUGACUGACCGAUAGUGAACCAGUACCGUGAGGGAAAGGCGAAAAGAACCCCUGUGAGGGGAGUGAAAUAGAACCUGAAACCGUGUACGUACAAGCAGUGGGAGCCCUUCGGGGUGACUGCGUACCUUUUGUAUAAUGGGUCAGCGACUUACAUUUUGUAGCGAGGUUAACCGUAUAGGGGAGCCGUAGGGAAACCGAGUCUUAACUGGGCGUCUAGUUGCAAGGUGUAGACCCGAAACCGGGUGAUCUAGCCAUGGGCAGGUUGAAGGUUGAGUAACAUCAACUGGAGGACCGAACCCACUAACGUUGCAAAGUUAGGGGAUGACCUGUGGCUGGGGGUGAAAGGCCAAUCAAACUCGGAGAUAGCUGGUUCUCCCCGAAAGCUAUUUAGGUAGCGCCUCGGACGAAUACUACUGGGGGUAGAGCACUGUUUGGGCUAGGGGGUCAUCCCGACUUACCAACCCCAUGCAAACUCCGAAUACCAGUAAGUACUAUCCGGGAGACACACGGCGGGUGCUAACGUCCGUCGUGAAGAGGGAAACAACCCAGACCGCCGGCUAAGGUCCCAAAGUUCUGGUUAAGUGGGAAACGAUGUGGGAAGGCUCAGACAGCUAGGAUGUUGGCUUAGAAGCAGCCAUCAUUUAAAGAAAGCGUAAUAGCUCACUAGUCGAGUCGGCCUGCGCGGAAGAUGUAACGGGGCUCAAACCAGGCACCGAAGCCGCGGAUUCACGCUAAGCGUGAGUGGUAGGGGAGCGUUCUGUAAGUCUGCGAAGGUGUGUCGAGAGGCAUGCUGGAGAUAUCAGAAGUGCGAAUGCUGACGUAAGUAACGAUAAAGGGGGUGAAAAGCCUCCUCGCCGGAAGACCAAGGGUUCCUGUCCAACGUUAAUCGGGGCAGGGUGAGUCGACCCCUAAGGUGAGGCCGAAAGGCGUA